rnacentral:rRNA from 1 species
AGUUUGAUCCUGGCUCAGGAUGAACGCCGGCGGUGUGCCUAAUACAUGCAAGUCGUACGCACUGGCCCAACUGAUUGAUGGUGCUUGCACCUGAUUGACGAUGGAUCACCAGUGAGUGGCGGACGGGUGAGUAACACGUAGGUAACCUGCCCCGGAGCGGGGGAUAACAUUUGGAAACAGAUGCUAAUACCGCAUAACAACAAAAGCCACAUGGCUUUUGUUUGAAAGAUGGCUUUGGCUAUCACUCUGGGAUGGACCUGCGGUGCAUUAGCUAGUUGGUAAGGUAAUGGCUUACCAAGGCGAUGAUGCAUAGCCGAGUUGAGAGACUGAUCGGCCACAAUGGAACUGAGACACGGUCCAUACUCCUACGGGAGGCAGCAGUAGGGAAUCUUCCACAAUGGGCGCAAGCCUGAUGGAGCAACACCGCGUGAGUGAAGAAGGGUUUCGGCUCGUAAAGCUCUGUUGUUGGAGAAGAACGUGCGUGAGAGUAACUGUUCACGCAGUGACGGUAUCCAACCAGAAAGUCACGGCUAACUACGUGCCAGCAGCCGCGGUAAUACGUAGGUGGCAAGCGUUAUCCGGAUUUAUUGGGCGUAAAGCGAGCGCAGGCGGUUGCUUAGGUCUGAUGUGAAAGCCUUCGGCUUAACCGAAGAAGUGCAUCGGAAACCGGGCGACUUGAGUGCAGAAGAGGACAGUGGAACUCCAUGUGUAGCGGUGGAAUGCGUAGAUAUAUGGAAGAACACCAGUGGCGAAGGCGGCUGUCUGGUCUGCAACUGACGCUGAGGCUCGAAAGCAUGGGUAGCGAACAGGAUUAGAUACCCUGGUAGUCCAUGCCGUA